rnacentral:rRNA from 1 species
GACGAACGCUGGCGGCGUGCCUAAUACAUGCAAGUCGAACGCUGAAGGAGGAGCUUGCUUCUCUGGAUGAGUUGCGAACGGGUGAGUAACGCGUAGGUAACCUGCCUGGUAGCGGGGGAUAACUAUUGGAAACGAUAGCUAAUACCGCAUAAGAGUAGAUGUCGCAUGACAUUUGCUUAAAAGGUGCAAUUGCAUCACUACCAGAUGGACCUGCGUUGUAUUAGCUAGUUGGUGAGGUAACGGCUCACCAAGGCAACGAUACAUAGCCGACCUGAGAGGGUGAUCGGCCACACUGGGACUGAGACACGGCCCAGACUCCUACGGGAGGCAGCAGUAGGGAAUCUUCGGCAAUGGACGGAAGUCUGACCGAGCAACGCCGCGUGAGUGAAGAAGGUUUUCGGAUCGUAAAGCUCUGUUGUAAGAGAAGAACGAGUGUGAGAGUGGAAAGUUCACACUGUGACGGUAGCUGACCAGAAAGGGACGGCUAACUACGUG